rnacentral:rRNA from 1 species
AUGCCCACACAGCAGCUGUGGCGCCGCGGCUCUGCUCCCAUCCGCCCACCUGCACAGCGACCGGCGCGGCGCUGCGGGACCAGAAGCUCGCCUGCGGCGGCGGAAGGGGCCUCUGUGACUCCGGCUGGAUUCACCACCUGCAAGGACGAUUGGAUCCGGCUGGAUUCGCUCAGGGCAGACGACAACGCCAAGGACGACUGGAUCCACGACCUCCCGCCCCUCUACAUGGCCAACAGUAGCACCGAACAGAGUACUCCAUUGCUGCCCGGAACGCAGCGAGCAACAAGAUGCGCUAGGUGUGGAGGAGCUGGGGGCCUGGGCGAGGAGGUGCCCAGGGGCGGGAGCGGCGAGGUGCCCAGGGGCGGGAGCGGCGAGAUGCCCGGGGCUGGAGCGGGAGGUGCCCAGGCGCUGGAGCUUUUCCUCGCCUAG